CCCAGGGAAGGAAGAACUUUCACUGAAGAUUGAAGGGGGAAAAGCAGAAGGAGCCAAGGAGCCCUUCACUUAGAAACAGGCAGUUUUGGCACAACCGAGAGUGCUCCCAGGGACAGCAGCAGCGCCGGGACAGCCCGUGCUCCUCACCAGGCAGCCCCCAUUGCCGUGACAUUGCUGGCAAUGGUGCUGGCAGGGGAAGGCUCGGCUGCGUCCUGCCCUGUGCUGCCUUCAGAAAAGCCGAGGUGUGGGGAGCCAGGGUUGGAUGCACGGUGCCCUUAGGAAAGAAGGAAGAAGGAAAUCUACUGGGGCAGAGCAAUGGAUGCCGGUGCGCACGGACCGGACGGGGACGGCGGGUGGCUGCAGCCGGUCCCAGCUGUAUCCUUUUCCCAUUUCCCUUCCAUCCCCGUGGCCGGGCUCCCACCCCACUCCCGCCCCGCUGAGGUCAGCUCCGGCUAUUCUCUCCUCCACUUCCCCUGCUCCUGCCAUGCACUUCCCUUCUCCCUUUGAUAUUUCACCUUCGCUGCGUCAUCCCGCCGCGUGCUGGUUUGGGGCUCGGUUCCACGUGGACGUUCUGUUCCCUACUGUUGUCACAGGGUCGAGUCAGGGCUGUCUCUCACAUCACCGUGAGCCAAUUGUCCCUGUGCUUUGGGGGCUCGUGUCAGGAGGGCCAAACAGAAGAGCUGGGAUGGCCAAGAGGCAGCAGGGCCUCCCACCAUUGGCACCCAGCAGCAUCAGGUGCUCCCUUGGCUACCCUCUGGCUGGUUUCUCUCUUGCCCACAAGAAAUAAGCCAUCUCACACAGAUGAACACUUGUCUGAACACACAGAAGCUUUUAAGUGCACUAAACUACUCACACAGGGCAGGGCUCUGUGUUAGUUUGGUGGUGGAUUUCCUCAUGGGUUCCUCCUGGAGCCCCAUUGCCCCCAGCAGACACAUCAGCCGGGCAUCCCUCUUGGAUAGCAUGUCCCUGGCUCUGCCCCUUCCAAGUAGCGAGCUGUCACACAGCCAUGAGUGUGCUCCCAAACCAUCACAGACAGCACUGCCCGUUUGAAGACCCUCAGAUGUUAUUUGUAGGGGAAAAAAGACCUCAGUGCUCCCUCCCAGCCCCACAGAGCGCUCAAACCACCCAGGAAGCACCAGCACUAUCCACACGGAUUGGGAUAGGGGCAGAAGCAGAGGAGAGGCUUGGCACCAAAAACCAAGCAGUCCUCUUCACCAAGCAGGCACUGAAAUGGCAGCACUCCGUUCCAGAUGCCAGCUGGGAUGGUGGAAGAGGCACCAUCAACACACAGGUACAGCCUCAAGCUGCUGGCAUCCUGUCCUCUUACACCCUUCCCUCUGCCAAUGGCACCAAGAAGCAUUGGCCAACAUUUCCAAAUCUCCUCUUUCAGCUCAUGGAUGCUCAGCGCGGGGUUGCUGCCUUCAACCUGUACCCGGGGGGUCCUCUGAGAGCAAAGAGGGAGCUGUAGAAAUAAGCAGCGGUGAUGAUGUGGGGACAAGGCAGCCCCAUAGCCCGAAGGAUGGUGACGGUCUCCCAGCCCAUUGCAAUGGGGCAGCACUAGUUUGUGGUUUCAGGCUCAGAUUGUCUGAGUGACUCACGUGGAUUUCUGUCCCCCUCCUGGAGGUCUUUCCUUCCUUCAUUGUCAUUUUUGAUAACCUGAAAUAUUAGUCAGCCGGACUAGAGCUGCGCGUUUUAUUUAGCAUCUCCAAAGGAAAAUACAACGCUAGCACUGAAGGUGAAAAACACACAGAAAGAGCGCGGUCAACUUCAAGUAUUCAGAUCUCCUAAAGAUUUUCAGACUCUGGAAAAAAUCAGGGAACUGCCUUUAAAAUAAUGAGAUCUGCAAGAGAAAAUGAAAGGAGAGCAGUUGGCUUGUUUGUAUUUCCCCGUUGGCUUUCAAGCCUUUGGGCCACCCCUGCAUCCCACUGUGAGCCCCUCUCUGCUGACCUGAGGAGAGAACCCCCUUAAACAAGCAAACCCUAUGCAACCAGAAAACUGAGGCUUUAGGGAAACCUUGUGCAGGAGACCAAAGACAUCCCCAAAAUCCCAUCCAAAGCCCACACAGCUCCACUAAAAGUGCCUCUGUUGAGGCAUCCCAUCCACUCCCCAGCAGUACUUGUACCUACUUCAGGCUGCCACAACACCUGGCUCCUCCUUAGUGCUUUCCCCAUGACUCCCAGCAAUAAGCAUGGCUCCAAAUCCAUGCUCAGAACACAGAGCCAGGAGCAGCUUGCUCAAAGCCAGCAUACACAGUCAGAUAAAUUAAUAUUCACCAACAAACGAGGUUCCCCCUUUGCCCUCCUCAGUUUUGCAGCCCAGCACAAGGCAGUUUGGUCCCACCAACCAGCACACCCCUGGUCCUUGGCCACACCAUCCAGGCUGGGACAGCACAGCCCUCAGCCUGCACCCUGCAGCCUUGGCCAGAAAGUCACUUGAAGCCCUCAACUCGGGUUGGACAUUAGGAAAAAAAUUCUUCUCCAAAGAGCCAUGAUGCAGUGGCACAGGCUGCCCGGGGAGUGGUGGAGUCACCAUCCCUGGAGGUGUUCCAGAGCCGUGGAGAUGUGGCACUGAGGGACGCGUCAGUGGGCACGGUGGGAUGCAUUGGGGUGGGGGAUCUGAGAGGUCUUUUCCAACCUCAUGAUUCUAUGGUGAAAAUCACCAUGCACGUGGGCAGACCCUCCCCAGGAGAGCCCUUGCCCUGUCCUCCAGCCCAUGGGCAUUGCACACAGAGCUGCUGUCCUUGAGUUUGGGGCAGGAGAAGAACUGGGAGACGUCUCUGCUUGCAGCUGCUUGGGGGCCAAAAGCAAACACACCAUAGCAGUCCGGAACUGGGAACAAGCAGGGUGCGGUGAACGCCCGGUUCCUCGUGCCGGAUGAGGAGGAACUUGGCUUUGUGUUUCCCAUGCAGGAUGUCGCAAGAGGACACGGAGCCCUGAACCCACAACCGGGGGGAGGAAGCCACCCCGAGCAGAGGCACAGCCACGAGGGACGGUACCACGGUGGCAUCGGAACGGCGGCUCCGAGCAGAAAAGCAAUGCCGGCUGGUUGAAAACCGCAGCCAAGCAGCUUGGGGCCGAUGCGGGGAAGCAGCCCCGUGCGUGGCGUGGGGCAGGGGGCUUUGCACCUCCUCGCUCCCCGGCUCUUGAAAGCAAAUACAAAGGCUGGGCUCCCCAGCCCUCGCUGAUGGUCGACCUCUCCGUUGUCCUCGCUGCACGCCUGUCCCAGUUCCAGCAGCCGGUUGCUACAGCAACUGAGCUCUGACUAAUCAUUUGCGCAAUGACCUUUUUUCCCCCCAGAGAGAGGGAGGGAGGGAGAUGGAGGGGAGGGAGGGAGGGGAGGAGAGGCAAAGCAAGUGGAGGUUAGCAAUAAAAAGCAGCCAGGGAGAAUGGGUUUUUAGGAGAUGCGAGAUUUGGGGGGCUGUGUUACGCAGGGACCCCCAGUCUCCUUGCAGCCCCAUUGGUGAGAAUGCAGGGGGGCAGGCUAGGGGUAUGGAUGAGGGGGUGGUGGAUGCAAAUCAGGGCUCAAACGCAAUGCAUCCUCCUCCCCCCCACCCCACACCCUCCCAGCCUCCCCAGGAAGGGCCAAAAGUCAAGAAUUUGGCUCUGCUGCUGAGCAACCACGAAGGGUUGGCCAGUCCCACUGAUGACGAGCCCAGCUCGAGCACCCUGAGGCCAGCAGCUAUGGGGCUGAGCCCCAAACCCCUCAGCCAGGUGCUGCUGCUGGGCCCCAGAAGCAACCCAGCCAGAAACCUGAGCCUGGCUCCAGUGAUUGUCACCAUGUCACCGUGUCGGGCUCACUCCCAUCACUGCUGACCGCAGCCCAGUGAGAGCAGGGUCGGGUCUGGCCUCGUCUCCGCGAUGCCGUAAAUAAUGCACGAGCCUCUGCACACAGACCCAAGGAACACACGUGCGCUCGCAUCCUUCUGUCGUGGGAGGAGAAAAGAAGUUUAGAGGUUGCAGGUACUUUUCCUUCUCUCCCAUUGGAAAGCAGAAGUUGGUGAAACCAAAGGAGCACAUCCAAGGGCGGAUGGUUGUGCCACCAGCCCUGAGUUUCUGCAGCAAAAGGAUUUGGGCUCGUUUCCAGUCGGAUCAGAAAGCACUCCCAUCUGACCUUGACCAAUCACAGAGAACUAAGCCAGCUGAGAUAGCCAGGAACAGAGAUCCCUAGUGAUGGAGAGCAGAAAUCUAUGGAGAGCCACAGAAGAAUGGGUUGGCUAUUUGGAAAGAAAAGGAACUGUGUAGAAAACAAAAUAUUUUUGUGGAAGGAUAGACCAUAACUGGGAAAAAGCUGGACAAACUCUGCAAUACUGCCAUGUGAACAGGAGGAUGAGAAAAGGAGGAGAACCUGGAGUGGCCGCGGGGCACAGCAGGGAGGAGCGAGCUGUGCCUGGGUGCUGCACACAUGCUCUGCAGGCAGUGCCUGCCCCACAGAGGAUCUCAGGGCUGCCCCUGUCCAUGUGGAGGGCUCUGGGUUGGGUGUACCCAGAACUGUUCUGAGAUGCUCUCGUGGCCCAUCCUUACCCUGCCUUUCUGCACCAGGCACAGGCCCUUUCCUUAAGGCUGCUCAGACAAACUCCUUGCUCCCAGCACAUCUAACAUCCAGCCCCAGAGCCAACGUCCUCCUCCGGCUUACUGCACUCCCUUCUGCCCAUCAGACAACCUCAAGGACAGGACAUUCUUAGCUACCUAGGCACCUACCCAAGUUCCCCCUGCAGCAUCUGACCCCAAACUUGGCAAAAUCAACAGCGAUUUUACAGAGGGUUCGUAGCACGCCCGUAGCAGUGCACAGCAAGCAGCCACAGCUUGCCCUGCUUGAGCAGAUCAAAGCCACAUCAAGCCCAAUGCAAUAAGCACUGCUGAACAGCAAGAGACAUGAACCCGGCCUUGGUGCUAUGCAGUACGGUUACUCGGCUUCCAGAUGUGGACAGCCCGAGCUCCUGCCUGCCCUGAGCCACCCUGUAGCCGGGGGCUGCCUCUAAACUGAAAGGCAGAGCGCAGAAAUAAAACUGGUUUCCACCUCUUUUUGGCUAAAUCGCUCUGCAGCUUGCAGAGCUCCACCAAGGACAAUUAUUUCCAGCAUGUGCCGUGCGUGAGUGCUGCAAGCAAGGCAGAGCUGGAGUUUCAUCACAGCCCGGCUUUGUGCGCAGAGCAGAGAAGGGAGGGGGGGGGGGAAUCAAAAAGGAACUUGGAACUCAAGGCCCCCCAGCCUCACCCUGAUCCCGAGGAGGCUCCGCUCUGCUCUUGCUCAACCCGACAUCGAGAAUGAGGAAGUGGAGGAGACAGGCGGGGGAGGUGGAGGAACGGUCAAGCUGAAGACAAACAGCCCCCGAGCUGCAGGGCUGGGAAAAAGCUCCGUGAGCAAGAGGGCACGGGAGCAAAGAGCGCUCUGCAUCCAUGCUGAACGCCGUCCCCAUGCAGCGGUCCCCAGGGUUUGGGUAACCCGAGCUCAGGUCUCUCAGGAGCUGGUUUCCAGCACCCAGACCUGCAACCCCUGCAGCACUUGGGGAUAGCACAGCCCAUCAUGGUAGGGCCAUGCCAAGCCAUGCCGAGCCAGCCCCAGCCAGCCCACUGCCCACCUUGCUCAGCGACAGCCAGCUCUCAGCACAGCCUGCAGCUCGCUCGCUCGCCUCCACGCUCCUGAAUACCGAGAACCACAACACCAUGUUCUCUGCAAACAGGAGUUAGCAUAAAAAAUUAAAACCCAGCCAGGCGCGAGGUGCUGCAGGCGGCUGAUGCAGCUCGGGGCCCUCGCCGGUCCCACCACCUCUGUCACCAUCCCCAUCCAUGCACACUCUCUUCUCUUUGUCUCGCCCCAGGGGAGGAAGAAACGAAGGCGAGGCAGCCCUGUGCUGCAUGGUCCAACGGGUGGUGGGGCAGCACCCAGGGCGGGUGCUCUCCUGCUGCUUUGUCCUUCCACUCGCUAGGGCAGCCAGGAGUUGCCUUGACUUUAUCCCUCGUACAGCAAAAAUAAUGUAGCAGAGACCUUAAGGGUGAGUGGAGGAUCCCUAAAGAGGUUCCCAUUACUGCAACUCAUGAGAAGAUCAGGACCUAUGGCCCGUAUGGUAAAUCCCACUCACAUUUUCUAUUCUCUCCAGGACAAGCAAGGAACCAAGGCACCAGCGUGGGUCAGCAGGAGGGAAAUGAAGGGCUCCUGUCCCACCCAGCUUAGGGCAACAAAGAUAGCAAGGGCCGCUGCUAGGGUUGGUAAAAUCGAUCCCAAGGAUUUUAUGUUUCCCAGGAAAAGUGGAAAAUCCCACAGGAAGGAGCACUGCAGGAGGACCAAGGAGGCAACUAAACCCAGACAGCGAGCAGAUGGAGUGCAAACCCAGCAAAGCCCUGGGGAAAGGAAACCCAGCGAAGCUCCAGGAAAACAAGAGGUUUCUUUCCCUUUCCCAGAGCCAUCCCACUGCGAGAGUUGGGGUGAGGGAGCCGACACCCAGCGCCUGGGCCAGCAGCUCUUAGCCAGGAGCAGAGCCCUGUGGAGGAGCUCAUGGGAAGGCGGUGAGCAGCAGGACCCGCAUGAUCGCCCACAGCAAGCAGCAGUUCCAGCAAGCCUACACCCGGGGUGCAUCUGACCCCAGGAGCAUUCUGCAUCCAGAGCAUCCCUGAAAGGGAGAACUCAUUGCCAAAAACCAGGAGCUCUGCCUGCCCAGAGUUUGCAUUUUCAUUUUGGCUGGGAAACUGGAAAAAUGCAGACCUGAGAAGGUAAUUUCCCCCAGCCCAUCACUGGUCUCUGACCCUGCAGGGCUGGGCUGGCACUGGGAGUCUCUUGGUUUCUGCAGUGGGGGCCAUGGCAGCUUUUAGAAAUGGGGCAGAGGGAAGUGCAAAGUGCCAGGACAGGGUCUGCGUGUGCCUGACUGAUGCCUCUGUCCGCACCUCUGAGUUACCCAAAUCCAGGGAACACAUCCUUGCUUUUCCCUGCAGCCCCAUCCACAGGACCCGGCCAGGAGCCCCUCUUAGUAACAGCACUGGAUUUAAAUAAAUAAAUCCAAUUCUGCUGAGAGGGGAGGGAAAAAAAAUAAAAUAAAGGAUGUGCCUCUCCA